rnacentral:rRNA from 1 species
GCGCGUGCUAUACAUGCAGUCGAGCGAAUGGAUUAAGAGCUUGCUCUUAUGAAGUUAGCGGCGGACGGGUGAGUAACACGUGGGUAACCUGCCCAUAAGACUGGGAUAACUCCGGGAAACCGGGGCUAAUACAGGAUAACAUUUUGAACUGCAUGGUUCGAAAUUGAAAGGCGGCUUCAGCUGUCACUUAUGGAUGGACCCGCGUCGCAUUAGCUAGUUGGUGAGGUAACGGCUCACCAAGGCAACGAUGCGUAGCCGACCUGAGAGGGUGAUCGGCCACACUGGGACUGAGACACGGCCCAGACUCCUACGGGAGGCAGCAGUAGGGAAUCUUCCGCAAUGGACGAAAGUCUGACGGAGCAACGCCGCGUGAGUGAUGAAGGCUUUCGGGUCGUAAAACUCUGUUGUUAGGGAAUAACUUUUGUUUUUUU